rnacentral:rRNA from 1 species
UACGUAGGAUCCAAGCGUUGUCCGGAUUUACUGGGUGUAAAGGGUGCGCAGGCGGACUGAUAAGUCAGGAGUGAAAUCUCGGCGCUUAACGCCGAAACGUCUUUUGAUACUGUCGGUCUUGAAUUAGCGAGAGAUUCGUGGAAUUCCGAGUGUAGCAGUGAAAUGUGUAGAUAUUCGGAAGAACACCAGUGGCGAAGGCAGCGAAUUGGCGCUAUAUUGACGCUCAGGCACGGAAAGCAUGGGGAUCAAACAGAUUAG